ensembl:snRNA U1 U1 spliceosomal RNA
GUCCUUACAUGUCAGGGGACUUGCCAUGAUCACGAACGUGGUUUUCCAGGGUGUGGUUCAUCCAGCGCACUCCAGAUGUGCUAACCCCUGUGAUUUCCCCAAAUGCAGAAAACUCGACUGCAUAAUUUGUGAUAGUGGGGGACUGAGUUCACACUCUCCCUAG